GACAGAGGUGCCGAGCGUUAGGCGGAAUCACUGGGCUUAAAGCGUGUGUAGGCGGGCGGGCAAGUACCUUGUGAAAUCCCACGGCUCAACCGUGGAACGGCUGGGUAUACUGCCUGUCUUGAGCCAACUAGGGGCGAGCGGAACAGACGGCGGAGCGGUGAAAUGCGUAGAUAUCGUCUGGAACGCCAAAGGUGAAAACAGGUAGCUGGGGCUGUGCUGACGCUGAGACACGAAAGCCAGGGGAGCAAACGGG
rnacentral:rRNA from 1 species